GACGUAGGGCGCGAGCGUUGUCCGGAUUUAUUGGGCGUAAAGAGCUCGUAGGCGGCUUGUCGCGUCGGCCGUGAAAACCUGGGGCUCAACCCCAGGCUUGCGGUCGAUACGGGCAGGCUAGAGUUCGGUAGGGGAGACUGGAAUUCCUGGUGUAGCGGUGAAAUGCGCAGAUAUCAGGAGGAACACCGGUGGCGAAGGCGGGUCUCUGGGCCGAUACUGACGCUGAGGAGCGAAAGCGUGGGGAGCGAACAGG
rnacentral:rRNA from 1 species